UAGGACGUAGCAUAAAUUAAUGCAUCUCACUUACACUGAGAGCAUGCUUUUAAUAAAGUCGUUCUG
rnacentral:tRNA from 1 species